GGCCUCGUAGCUCAGCUAAUAGAGCGUUCGCUCUACAAAACGCGAAGGCGGCGUCAAUGCGUGGGUUCAAAUCCAACCGAGACUA
rnacentral:tRNA from 1 species